rnacentral:rRNA from 1 species
GGAGGUAGUGACAAUAAAUCACAAUGCGGGACUAUCAGUCUUGCAAUUGGAUUGAGAACAAUGUACAACUCUUAUCGAUAAGCCAUUGGAGGGCAAGUCUGGUGCCAGCAGCCGCGGUAAUUCCAGCUCCAAUAGCGUAUAUUAACGUUGUUGCAGUUAAAAAGCUCGUAGUUGAAGUGUGGGUGAUCGCUGUUGUGAGACUUCGGUCUCUCGACAGUAAGUCACCCCCUUCCAGUAUCCAGUAGUGGGUAUUCAGUUACUUACUACUGUGUGUUGGUCCUUUACUGUGAGAAAAUUAGAGUGUUCAAAGCAGGCGUUUGCUUGAAUAGAUUAGCAUGGAAUAAUAAUUGAAGGCUUUCGUGUUCGAUUUGAUUGGUUUGUUCAUGGAAGCAAGGUUAAAAGGAACAGUUGGGGGUAUUCAUAUUCACUAGUUAGAGGUGAAAUUCUCGGAUUUAUGGAAGAUGAACAAGUGCGAAAGCA